GACGAACGCUGGCGGCGUGCCUAACACAUGCAAGUCGAACGGAGAUACGAUUUCGGUUGUAUCUUAGUGGCGAACGGGUGAGUAACGCGUGAGCAACCUGACCUUUAGAGGGGGAUAACACUUGGAAACAGGUGCUAAUACCGCAUAAGACCACGACCUGACAUCAGGAUGAGGUCAAAGGAGCAAUCCGCUAAAGGAGGGGCUCGCGUCCCAUUAGAUAGAUGGCGGGGUAACGGCCCACCAUGUCGACGAUGGGUAGCCGAGCUGAGAGGCUGAUCGGCCACACUGGAACUGAGACACGGUCCAGACUCCUACGGGAGGCAGCAGUGGGGAAUAUUGGGCAAUGGGCGCAAGCCUGACCCAGCAACGCCGCGUGAGGGAAGAAGGCCUUCGGGUUGUAAACCUCUGUCCUUGGUGACGAAACAAAUGACGGUAGCCAAGGAGGAAGCCCCGGCUAACUACGUGCCAGCAGCCGCGGU
rnacentral:rRNA from 1 species